UACGUAGGGUGCAAGCGUUUGUCCGGAAUUAUUGGGCGUAAAGAGCUCGUAGGCGGUUUGUCGCGUCGGCUGUGAAAACCUGGGGCUCAACCCCGGGCCUGCAGCCGAUACGGGCAAACUAGAAUUCGGUGAGGGGAGACUGGAAUUCCUGGUGUGAGCGGUGAAAUGCGCAGAUAUCAGGAGGAACACCGGUGGCGAAGGCGGGUCUCUGGGCCGAUAUUGACGCUGAGGAGCGAAAGGCGUGGGGAGCAAACAGG
rnacentral:rRNA from 1 species